AUUGAACGCUGGCGGCAGGCCUAACACUUGCAAGUCGAACGGUAACAGGAAGCAGCUUGCUGCUUCGCUGACGAGUGGCGGACGGGUGAGUAAUGUCUGGGAAGCUGCCUGAUGGAGGGGGAUAACUACUGGAAACGGUAGCUAAUACCGCAUAAUGUCGCAAGACCAAAGAGGGGGACCUUCGGGCCUCUUGCCAUCGGAUGUGCCCAGAUGGGAUUAGCUUGUUGGUGGGGUAACGGCUCACCAAGGCGACGAUCCCUAGCUGGUCUGAGAGGAUGACCAGCCACACUGGAACUGAGACACGGUCCAGACUCCUACGGGAGGCAGCAGUGGGGAAUAUUGCACAAUGGGCGCAAGCCUGAUGCAGCCAUGCCGCGUGUAUGAAGAAGGCCUUCGGGUUGUAAAGUACUUUCAGCGGGGAGGAAGGGAGUAAAGUUAAUACCUUUGCUCAUUGACGUUACCCGCAGAAGAAGCACCGGCUAACUCCGUG
rnacentral:rRNA from 1 species